UAAUGAUUGACUUUCCAUAACAGUGUGAUAAUUUAUCUUUAUGUUAAUGACAUGCUUAUAAUUGGAACAAAUACGAGGCUAUAAUAUGCUGCUAAAGCUCAUAGUGAACAUAUUUAAAAAGUUGAUAAGAUUUAUGUAUAUAAGUCAAAAGACACCUUUUGUAUGCAUAAAUCUUAAUUCAUGUUGAUUGUGUCUAUCACUAAAAAAGUGGGGGAUAUAGUUAGAAAUAAUUAGUGAUAGGAAAAGUUGUCCCAUAAUUGAAAGAGUUAUGUCUAUUCAUUAAAAGGCAUCAAAACGAACUGCUUAUUAUAUAUUUAAAGAGAUAUAAGUGAAUAAAUGUAAUUAUUUUAAGAGAUACAAAGUGAAUUAUUGUAUCUAUUCUUAGAGGUAUAAGUGAAUAGGUGUAAUUAUUCUAAGAGAUAGAAAGUGAACGAUUGUAUCUAUUUUAAAAGAUGUAAGUGAACAGAUGUAAUUAUU
rnacentral:misc_RNA from 1 species